rnacentral:rRNA from 1 species
AUUGAACGCUGGCGGCAGGCCUAACACAUGCAAGUCGAACGAGUGGCGGACGGGUGAGUAAUGUCUGGGAAACUGCCUGAUGGAGGGGGAUAACUACUGGAAACGGUAGCUAAUACCGCAUACCAUCGGAUGUGCCCAGAUGGGAUUAGCUAGUAGGUGGGGUAACGGCUCACCUAGGCGACGAUCCCUAGCUGGUCUGAGAGGAUGACCAGCCACACGGGAACUGAUACACGGUCCAGACUCCUCCGUGAGGCAGCAGUGGUGAAUCUUGCCCGAUGGGCGCAAGCCUGAUGCAGCCAUUCCGCUUGUAUGACGAAGGCCUUCGGGUUGUAAAGUACUUUCAGCUGGGAGGCGUUACCCGCAGAAGAAGCACCGGCUAACUCCGUGCCAGCCGCCGCGGUAAUAC